rnacentral:rRNA from 1 species
CAGUUGAGGCAGGCGGAAUUCGUGGUGUAGCGGUGAAAUGCUUAGAUAUCACGAAGAACUCCGAUUGCGAAGGCAGCCUGCUAAGCUGCAACUGACAUUGAGGCUCGAAAGUGUGGGUAUCAAACAGGAUUAGAUACCCUGGUAGUCCACACGGUAAACGAUGAAUACUCGCUGUUUGCGAUAUACUGCAAGCGGCCAAGCGAAAGCGUUAAGUAUUCCACCUGGGGAGUACGCCGGCAACGGUGAAACUCAAAGGAAUUGACGGGGGCCCGCACAAGCGGAGGAACAUGUGGUUUAAUUCGAUGAUACGCGAGGAACCUUACCCGGGCUUAAAUUGCAGAUGAAUUACGGUGAAAGCCGUAAGCCGCAAGGCAUCUGUGAAGGUGCUGCAUGGUUGUCGUCAGCUCGUGCCGUGAGGUGUCGGCUUAAGUGCCAUAACGAGCGCAACCCUUGUUGUCAGUUACUAACAGGUUCCGCUGAGGACUCUGACAAGACUGCCAUCGUAAGAUGUGAGGAAGGUGGGGAUGACGUCAAAUCAGCACGGCCCUUACGUCCGGGGCUACACACGUGUUACAAUGGGGGGUACAGAGGGCCGCUACCACGCGAGUGGAUGCCAAUCCCCAAAACCUCUCUCAGUUCGGACUGGAGUCUGCAACCCGACUCCACGAAGCUGGAUUCGCUAGUAAUCGCGCAUCAGCCACGGCGCGGUGAAUACGUUCCCGGGCCUUGUACACACCGCCCGUCAAGCCAUGGGAGCCGGGGGUACCUGAAGUGCGUAACCGCGAGGAGCGCCCUAGGGUAAAACUGGUGACUGGGGCUAAA